GAGUUUGAUCCUGGCUCAGAACGAACGCUGGCGGCAGGCCUAACACAUGCAAGUCGAACGAAGCCUUCGGGCUUAGUGGCGGACGGGUUAGUAACGCGUGGGAACGUGCCCUUCUCUACGGAACAGUCCCGGGAAACUGGGUUUAAUACCGUAUACGCCCUUCGGGGGAAAGAUUUAUCGGAGAAGGAUCGGCCCGCGUCUGAUUAGAUAGUUGGUGGGGUAACGGCCUACCAAGUCGACGAUCAGUAGCUGGUUUGAGAGGAUGAUCAGCAACACUGGGACUGAGACACGGCCCAGACUCCUACGGGAGGCAGCAGUGGGGAAUCUUAGACAAUGGGCGCAAGCCUGAUCUAGCCAUGCCGCGUGAGUGAUGAAGGCCUUAGGGUCGUAAAGCUCUUUCGCUGGGGAAGAUAAUGACGG
rnacentral:rRNA from 1 species